GGGGCUUAGGAUAACUAAGACCAAGGACCUUCAAAGCCCUAAGCAGGAGUUAAAAUCUCCUAGCCCCU
rnacentral:tRNA from 1 species